AGGACGAACGCUGGCGGCGUGCUUAACACAUGUAAGUCGAGCGGAAAGGCCCUUCGGGGUACUCGAGCGGCGAACGGGUGAGUAACACGUGAGUAAUCUGCCCCUAGCUCUGGGAUAGCUCCGGGAAACCGGGAUUAAUACUGGAUACGACCACCUUAGACAUCUUUUGUGGUGGAAAGAAUUUCGGCUAGGGAUGAGCUCGCGGCCUAUCAGCUUGUUGGUGGGGUAACGCCUACCAAGGCGACGACGGGUAGCCGGCCUGAGAGGGCGACCGGCCACACUGGGACUGAGACACGGCCCAGACUCCUACGGGAGGCAGCAGUGGGGAAUAUUGCGCAAUGGGCGAAAGCCUGACGCAGCGACGCCGCGUGGGGGAUGAAGGCCUUCGGGUUGUAAACCCCUUUCAGCAGGGACGAAGCGAAAGUGACGGUACCUGCAGAAGAAGCGCCGGCUAACUACGUGCCAGCAGCCGC
rnacentral:rRNA from 1 species